rnacentral:rRNA from 1 species
GUGCAAACGUUGCUCGGAAUCAUUGGGCGUAAAGCGCACGUAGGCGGACUGUUAAGUCGGAUGUGAAAUCCCUCAGCUUAACUGAGGAAGUGCACUCGAAACUGGCAGUCUUGAGUAUGGAAGAGGGUCGCGGAAUUCCCGGUGUAGAGGUGAAAUUCGUAGAUAUCGGGAGGAACACCAGUGGCGAAGGCGGCGACCUGGGCCAAUACUGACGCUGAGGUGCGAAAGCGUGGGGAGCAAACAGG